CAGCCCUCAAACAAAUCUGGCCCUGUUUUUCUUUUCUUUCAUGUAAUUAACUGAAGAGUUAGCGCUGCUGAUUGGCCAGAGUAUCUUCACACCUGGAGGAGGAACAUGGGGAGGAACCUUUGGGUUCAGUUGGCCAGUCCAGAAACUGGUGUGCUUCGGAUGCCAACAGUACACACAUGAUAGUGGUUGAAUGAAUAUUGUUAAAAAAUUGAUUUUCCAGCUGGUCUAAUACAACACCCUCCUUCCUGGUCUACCUGCUUUGGAACAUAAGGCCUCUGCAGCAAAACCAUGGUGCUGCUUACCUGAUCUACAAGCUAACCAGGCUCAGAUCCCCUGCCACAGGUUGAUAUUCCCAGGAUCAAAAGAAUUCACAGCUUUAAAACAUUCCCUACAUUGAAAAUGGAUGUUCUCCCUGCUGAUGUCCAGGUUACACUCUUUGCUCAAGGGAACAUCGACUGUGCCCCACCAGAGAACGGAACUCGCAGCUCCCUGUUCCUCACCCUCUGCACCACAUCAGCUCACAUCCUCAUUUUACUUUUACUUCCUUUUUUUUCCUCCAAAACUGACUUCUGUAUAAGGAUAUGGUCACAUUUUUUGUGAUGAUUUUUUUUUUUUUUUUGCGUAUCUUGUUGGAUUAAAAUAAAGUAAACAGGCUGUUUGCGCAUGUAAUGCUAUCAUUUCAUCCCUGUGGUUUCUGAAAUUCAGUUUCUGUUUAUACCAUGUAACACGCAGCAUUUCUUUUAUAACCACGAUUCCCGGAACAUAUGCUCAGGGUCACAUGGCAGGUGUGGGCUUAUGGGAGGUCUUACGUUCAGGUGCAUUGUGGGAGUGCAGCGUGGAGAACCAAGAACGACA